rnacentral:rRNA from 1 species
UACAGAGGUCUCAAGCGUUGUUCGGAAUCACUGGGCGUAAAGGGUGCGUAGGCUGCAUGGAAAGUCAGAUGUGAAAUCCGCGGGCUCAACCCUCGAAUAGCAUCCGAAACUACCAUGCUAGAGAACUGAAGGGGGGCUUGGAAUUUUCGGUGUAGCAGUGAAAUGCGUAGAUAUCGAAAAGAACGCUCGUGGCGAAGGCGAAGCUCUGGUCAGUAACUGACGCUGAGGCACGAAGGCUAGGGUAGCAAACGGG